AAAUUUGCCAGAGUGAAUGAGAGAAAUUAUUACAUAAUUUUGUGUAAUUUUUGCUGCAGGAAACAAUUUUCUCAGCACACCUGUUGAGGGGAGAAACAAGGCUCCUUCAACCAUCAAUCUGUGGGACCUCAGAGCUCAGCCUGAAAGCAAAGGCGAAACGAAAUACGAAAAUUGCAGUGCAGCAGAAGAGGAGUCAGCUGUCUGCGGGCCUCUGCUGAAAUCCCAUCUUUCGGCACUAAAACCUGAAACUUGGCUGAACUUGAGAUUCAUGAGAGCUCUCAGCUGCAGUUAUUCUGCUGUGCACUGCUCCUUCUUCUUCCACAGUGGAGGUGUCAAGGUAGGGAUAUAGUCCAUACUUCUUUGUUCCAGUGUUGUACCAGAGCCACAGGUCAGAGUCACUUUGAAUUUGAUCUGACUGAGAACACACAUUGCAUCCUUAUUUUUGUCUGUCCCAGUUCUGUGCUGGGUGCCAGUCACCCUCUGGCCAUGAAUUAACUCUGCACUGUGCUCUGAACAUGGUGGAUACAGGACUCUGGUAUAUGAUGCAGGACUAUCUUCUGUGGUAACUCCUGGCUGUCCUCCUUCCUUGGAUGAGCCCAGAGACCUCACUGGGAGCCGAGUGUAUUGUGGGGAAGCCUUGAGCCUGCUGUGAAUGAAUAGAUUUGGCACUAGGUGAGACAAACUAAUGGGUUUUUUAGUCACAAAGUUGUUUUUGCCUUUAAGUUUCUGCACUUCAAAUACUUCUUAAAAUAUUUAAAUACUGUUCCAUGCAGCUGUCACUGCUCCCUUGGGAGGGAGACAUCCACAUGCUCAUGGCAACAGAGGUUGGUCACUCACCAUCUUCCUGAGACUUAACAGCACCAUCCUGGUGGCAGCACCACCUCUG
rnacentral:lncRNA from 12 species